rnacentral:pre_miRNA from 1 species
AGCGAGGUAUAGAGUUCCUACGUAAUAUAGAACUGUAGGAACUUCAUACCGUGCUCU